rnacentral:rRNA from 1 species
AUACGGAGGGUGCAAGCGUUGCUCGGAAUUACUGGGCGUAAAGCGGGCGCAGGCGGCACGUCAAGUCAGUUGUGAAAGCCCGGGGCUCAACCCUGGAACUGCAGCUGAAACUGGCGAGCUUGAGUACGAGAGAGGGAAGCGGAAUUCCUGGUGUAGAGGUGAAAUUCGUAGAUAUCAGGAGGAACACCAGCGGCGAAGGCGGCUUCCUGGCUCGAUACUGACGCUCAUGCCCGAAAGCGUGGGGAGCAAACAGGAUUAGAUACCCUGGUAGUCCACGCCGUAAACGAUGAGUGCUAGUUGUUGGAGGACUAUACCCCUUCAGUGACGCAGUUAACGCAUUAAGCACUCCGCCUGGGGAGUACGGCCGCAAGGCUAAA